rnacentral:rRNA from 1 species
UACAGAGGUCUCAAGCGUUGUUCGGAUUCAUUGAGCGUAAAGGGUGCGUAGGUGGCGCCGUAAGUCGGGUGUGAAAUUUCGGAGCUUAACUCCGAAACUGCAUUCGAUACUGCGGUGCUUGAGGACUGGAGAGGAGACUGGAAUUCAUGGUGUAGCAGUGAAAUGCGUAGAGAUCAUGAGGAAGACCAGUGGCGAAGGCGGGUCUCUGGACAGUUCCUGACACUGAGGCACGAAGGCCAGGGGAGCAAACGGG